rnacentral:ncRNA from 1 species
GCACAAACUGUUGCAUGUAUUUUCAUGUAUUUCCUUUACUGACAAAUUGGCAUUAGCAGUUUCGGAUUGUAGGCUGCAAAUCGCCUACAUGAAGCCGGAAUCGGUAGUAAUCGCCGGUUAGCCAUACGACGGUGAAUUCGUUCCC